rnacentral:rRNA from 1 species
AGCUCCAAUAGCGUAUAUUCAAGUUGUUGCAGUUAAAAAGCUCGUAGUUGAAUUUUGGACCGGAUGCAGUGGUUUAGUCGCGAGAUUAACACUGCUUGCAUGUGGUCUUUUCUUCUGGGAAAGUGGCGUGUUCUUUGUUGAGCGCGUUACGGAUCCAGGACUGUUACUUUGAAAAAAUUAGAGUGUUUAAAACAGGCGUUUGCUUGAAUAGAUUAGCAUGGAAUAACGAAAUAGGACUUUGUUUCUAUUUUGUUGGUUUUUAGAAAUGAAGUAAUGAUUAAUAGGGAUAGUUGGGGGCAUUGGUAUUGCGGUGGGAGAGGUGAAAUUCUUGGAUCAUCGCAAGACGCCCUACAGCGAAAGCAUUUGCCAAGAAUGUUUCCAUUAAUCAAGAACGAAAGUA